rnacentral:rRNA from 1 species
UACGUAGGCAGCAAGCGUUGUUCGGAAUUACUGGGCGUAAAGCGUGCGCAGGCGGUUUUGUAAGCCAGAUGUGAAAUCCCCGGGCUUAACCUGGGAAUGGCAUUUGGGACUGCAAGGCUUGAGUGCGGCAGAGGAGACUGGAAUUCCUGGUGUAGCAGUGAAAUGCGUAGAUAUCAGGAGGAACACCGAUGGCGAAGGCAGGUCUCUGGGCUGACACUGACGCUCAUGCACGAAAGCGUGGGGAGCAAACAGG